rnacentral:rRNA from 1 species
AUGCCCUCGAAUCCCCUCUGUUCUUCUCGCCGUCUCGCUUCUCCUCACGCCACUCGUAGCCGCCGCCUCGCUGCUUUGCAUAUCGCCGGAACCGAAGUUCUUCGUCGUCGUUUCCGUCGCCAGUGGCACACCCGAGCCCUCAUUUUCUUCGUCAACCUUCUUAUCUCAUCGAGGCGCACCAUUUUGACACCUUUUUGCCGCGUAGGUCACGCCGGAGACGACGCCCCGACGACCUCGAGCCCCGCCGGAGCACCGGAGCGCCGCCGCCCGUCCCGACACCGCCGACGCCCCGCGCCACCACCAACCGAACGCCCGCGUCACGCUCGACCUCGCCAUCUACUUCCCCAACGCCGGAGCCGCCGCCCCGUUCGACGCCGAGCCACCUUGCCGUCAUCUUCUUCGCCGCCGAUGCCGUUGGCACGCUAUUGUCUGGAGUGCGAAGCUGAAUACUAUCAUUCUCUAGAGUUGAACCACCAGUAUCAAGAUUUAUCCGACGACGAUUAA